rnacentral:rRNA from 1 species
GAUGAACGCUGGCGGCGUGCUUAACACAUGCAAGUCGAACGAUGAAGCCCAGCUUGCUGGGUGGGUUAGUGGCGAACGGGUGAGUAACACGUGAGUAACCUGCCCUUAACUCUGGGAUAAGCCUGGGAAACUGGGUCUAAUACCGGAUAGGAGCGUCCACCGCAUGGGGGGUGGUGGGAAGAUUUGUCGGUUUUGGAUGGACUCGCGGCCUAUCAGCUUGUUGGUGGGGUAGUGGCUCACCAAGGCGACGACGGGUAGCCGGCCUGAGAGGGUGACCGGCCACACUGGGACUGAGACACGGCCCAGACUCCUACGGGAGGCAGCAGUGGGGAAUAUUGCACAAUGGGCGCAAGCCUGAUGCAGCGACGCCGCGUGAGGGAUGACGGCCUUCGGGUUGUAAACCUCUUUCAGUAGGGAAGAAGCGAAAGUGACGGUACCUGCAGAAGAAGCACCGGCUAACUACGUG